rnacentral:tRNA from 1 species
UUGUUAAUGGCCGAGACAGGUAAUAGACUGUAGAUCUACCAACGGAUCCUUAUAUCCUUAACAAA